rnacentral:tRNA from 1 species
GCGAGGGUGGCGGAAUUGGUAGACGCGCUAGCUUCAGGUGUUAGUGUCCUWYGGACGUGGGGGUUCAAGUCCCCCCUUUCGCACCA